GAUGUGAUGAAACCAAUGGUUGUUGAACUGUGGAUAGAACUUAAUCUAAAAUAGUCUGGUUUGUUUUUACCCUUUCGUUAUCUUACCGUUUCGUUAUCUUAAAAGCUGAGAUUGGGUAGUGGGAGUCGAACUCAAUGGUCUUAGUAUGACAUCACAAAUGGAAGCAACCACUUUGCUAAACCCAGGUGGUUACAGAGUUUCCUGAAGCAACAAUAGCUAUGGCAUGGUGCCGGCUCUAAUCACUGCCAGCCAACAAAACACGGCAGGAGAAGCUAACCAGAGAUGUGAUAGGGAGGCCUCAAGGUUACAGAAGAGUAGUGGGCCCGGCCAACUCCGGUGGUGGUGGGCACCAGCUGCUGCGAAGAGGCAUGUUCCAGGUCAUACUCGUGUGUGGGGGAAAAGCAGAAAGAAUGAUCUGAAAGAAUGUCAAAGCCAGAGGAUGGAGAGGAAUACCAGGGAAAUGUUGUCUUCUGAACACGACCUAGCUGCUACACCCAUGUACUUAUUGCAGCUAUAAUUAUCUGCAGAAGAUCUGCACAAGAUGAAGGUCCUGAACUCUCCAUCCUGGACAGGAGAAGAAUGUACAAGGCCCUUGCUUCUAGUGGAGGAGCUAUUGGUUUCUUGGGGAGAAUCACACUCUUCACUGUUGUAGCCACUGAAAACCUCAACCAAUCGAAAUGCAAAGUUAUGGAGUCCAGUUCGAGCAGAUACAUCUACAAAAUAAUCCAAAGAUGGGAGGAGAAAGACUGAGGACCCAAAUCAUCAUGUCCAAAUUAAUUAAAGCAAUCAAUUAAUUAAAGCAAUCUUUUUUUUAUUCAUGUAUACAGGCUGCCUUUCCCUAAUUCAGGGUCCAAAAGGUCAGCUUUGGACAUAAAGGGAAUAAGAGUGAAAGUAUGAAAGG